rnacentral:lncRNA from 1 species
UCCCAGCUACUCAGGAGGCUGAGGCAGGAGAAUCGCUUGAACCUGGGGAGGCGGAGGUUGCAGUGAGCCAAGAUUGCGUCACUGCACUCCAGCCUGGGCGACAGAGUGAGACUCUGUCUCAAAAAUUAAAGAAAAAAGAAUGCUAGUUGGGAUAAAUGGGAAGUGCAGUGCUAUACAGGCUAAUGAAAACAUCCAAAAAGUUUUAGAAUUUAAGUCAUCAAAUUCCUUAAAGUUCAAUAUAAGGGAGUGAUGAGAAAUAAGACUGGAACCAGUUAUGAAGAGCCUUUUGUGCAAGCCAAGCAAUGGAAAUGUAUUGGAGCCUCUUUGAUCUGUAAUUUUAAAGUAUAUUUAUUUGCAGAAGUUUAAAAUGGACUUUUUUUCUUUGUAGGCACACAAGUCUCUGAAUUUUGUCUCAACACUGCUCCAGAUUACUAUGUCGGAACAGCUGGAUUUACCUGUGAGACAGGCAGGCAAGUUUCCUAAAUUAUAUUGAGUGUAUGUAAUCUAUUGUUUAAAAGGUUCAUAAUCGAAUAGCAGAAGUGUCUUGGGAUGGCCCUUUGGCAAUUUUUUCCCCCCAGGUAAUUUGUUUACCUUCAGUGUUUACAGCUAACAUCAGGUACCUUGAUAUCUGGUGGCAGA